rnacentral:lncRNA from 1 species
AGAAUCAAAGUUAGGGUUUCAAUUCUUCAUCCAAGUAGAGAGGAUCCCUCUAGUUCUUCUAGUUCUACCUCUAGUUCGUCUAGAUCUAGUUCUAGUUCAUCUAGUUCUAGUUCUAGUUCUAGUUCCUCUAGUUCUAGUUCUAGUUAGUUCUAGUUGUAAUAUAGAAAAUAGGGAGAGAGAAGAGGAGAGCGGAGGAGGAGCCGGAUCUGUCGGAUCUUCCUCAACAUUGUACUUUUGCAGCAACUGGUUCGUUCUUCAUUGUUCUCCAGGUUCUUCAAUUCAUAAUCCUGAGUUCUUUAAUUACUUUUAUUUACAUUCAAGUUAUUUAUUGGAUUCCUGCUUGCAUCAAGUGCCUGGCCCCGUUCGGCCUCCGCUUCCUUCCCGUGGCUUCUGGAGUAUUCUAGAUGUAAGAUAAUUGCGCGGCAUGUUGAUAUCUCUAUGUAAUCCCGACGUAUGGGCCUUUCUUCCGUAUUCCCUGAUAACCCCCCUGCAGAAAUAGACAAACACCAAAACUCAUGGAAUUCUGUCAGAUAAAACCCUAAGUCUAGAUGUUGAUUUCAUUUGGACCCUUUUCUUUGUUUAUUUGAUAAUUAAAUUUGAUACUUAAGGAUCGUCAACAGUCUCCUAAUUGGGAAGGUCCUUAUCGGAUAAAUUGGUCUGCUCCUGGCAAUGCUUAUAUUUUAUAAACUCUCGAGGGAGUUGAUUUUUCUAGAGCAUUAAAUGGAAAAUAUCUAAAGAAGUAUUACCCGAGCAUCUAGAUCGAUGCAUAAAAGUUCAAAUGCCGAUAACACUCCUAUCGGGUGGAUGAAAUGUAUCUAAGAUCAUGUAUGUUGUUUUAAAGUGUCGAUAGCAGUCCUAUCGGCUAGACCAGAAUGGUAAAAGUUUCUAAGGGCAGGGGUUGCCGAUGAAUAGUUCAUAGGUUCAGCAAACCUUGGAUAGUGGAUAUGGCGCGCAGUCGAAUUCGGUUGGCCUCUUCUAUCUCCCGGAUAUCCUGAUCGGCAGAACCCUCUACUAGUUUCAACUUCUUUUUCAUCUACAGUGCCUUAUGAGCCUGGAUGUUUCGUUCUUGCUGAAGAGUCUUGAGCAUCUCAGGUAGCUGGCUUUCUUCUUGCUGAGCUUGGGUCAGAGCCUCUUCUACUUAUUUGAGCUCAGCUAGCAGAGCUUCCCAUCUUGUCCAUAGAUCAGAAAUCUUUUGUUUCAGUGUAUCCCCUGAGGACUGCUGAAUGCCGAUGCUCUUAUGUUUCUCAUCGGCAAGGCGCUUUACUUGCAUUACUUCCUCUUUGAGU